UAGUCUUGUAAAGACUCGGACGUGAAUGCAGAGUCGCUGGCGCGAUAAAAAACUAAGUCUUGUACGGCUUAGAAGCGAACGUGACUCGCGUGAGGAAUAUCACAAACGCGACGGCGACUAAGUUCCUGUACGGACAUAGAAGCGAGCGUGGCUCACGUGAGAAAGUCGCGGGUGCGACGGAGACUAAAUCCUGUACGGACUAAGGGUGCGUUCCUUUAUUUACUGCGAGUACUGUCAGUACUACAACAGCGUUCCGAAAUAGGUUACAGUGCACUGCGAAAGCAAUUCGACGAGUUUGUGACGUCAUGAAUUUCGAUGUCACUUCCUGUUGUGACCACUGCAGCCGGCGAGGUAAAGUAGUUGCAGUUCAAGAUGGCGAGUUACAUUGAAAUAACCUUACUCGAUGCUGAAACCAACGAGGCAUAUAAAAUAGUUGUUAGUCCAGAAGACGCUAAAAGAGCUGAAAGUGAUUUAGAGUUUGCAACAAAAUUAUUGGAACGUGCAAGAAGUAACAGUAAGAAAAAAACUAUUUUAAACACUAUAUUAACUAUUAUAUACAAAUUUUGUUUGCUCUAAGUGUUUAAUGAUAAGUUAGAUGUAUUAAUUAAACUGUUAUAACUUAGAUUCUCCUUAAUUUUAAGUUAUCUUGAUCCCUCUGUAGGAGACAGAAGCAAUAUUAAUAAAAUUUGCGAUUACUCAGUAUUAGAUGAUAACAAAGAAAAUGAUAAUAUUAAAGAUAAAGGGUUGGUUGCAAUUGGGCAACGGCUUUAGUUUUCCUCCUGACGAAAGAUACACUCUUAUAAAAUUUAUAAAACAUCUUGAGAACAACGAAGUCAUUCAGUAAUAAUGAGAAGAAGAACGUGAGGAGUCUCUAUUCCCAUUUUACGUGACAUUAAAUUAUAUAUACCAUCUUUAUAUCAUGAUAAUAAACUUCUCCUUCACACUUACAGAGCAGCCAAAUCAUUUGCCAAGUCGUUCCCUGAUUUGUUAUUUACUAAAGCUGACAAAGGAAAUGUCACUGUUCUGGACAAGGACGUUUAUGUUAAGAUGUCACAAUUGGAGGAUACUAAUACAUAUCAAGUUGUCAAAAAGGAUCCCACUAAGAAAAUAAUAACUGAGCUACACAAUAUUUUAAAGAGAUGGAAGAAUAAGUCUUAUAUUGACAAGUCUAUUUUUAGGUUUUUGUAAUCAAGUGAUGGCAUUCUCCCUCGUGCUUACGGUUCUCCUAAGAUACACAAAGCUGACAACCCUUUAAGGAUUAUUGUUUCAUCUAUCAAUAGUCCUUUGUAUAACUUGGCCUUGUUUUUACAUAAGUUAAUUUCUUCUAAUAUCCCGGCGGCUAAUAGCAAAAUCAAAAAUAGCUUUGAUCUGGUUGGAUCUCUUGCAAAUUUAUAUGUAGAGGAACACUUUAAACUGUUUUCAUUGGAUGUGGUAUCAUUGUUCAUCAAUAUUCCUCUUGAAUUAGCAAUGAAUGGUAUUUUAAGAAAGUGGUGUUUUUUAGAGACAUUCAGUAAAAUUCCGAAGGAAGAAUUUAUUUUAGCACUAAAAUUUGUUCUCAAUUCUACUUAUUUCUGCUUUAAUGGCAGGAUUUACAGACAGACCUUUGGCAGUCCGAUGGGUUCUCCUCUCUCUCCUGUCAUAGCUGACAUAGUUCUCCAAGACCUCGAGGAAAGAGCACUUCAAAGGAUACAGAUCCCUUUAUUUUGUGGACGACAUUGUUUUAGCUGCUCUAGAAACUUUUGUUGAAAACAUUUUAAUUGUUUUUAAUUCUUUCCAUCCACGCCUUUAGUUUACGAUGGAUUUGGGCGAGAAUGGAAAAAUUAAUUUUUUGGAUACCUCUAUAGAGAUCGUUGAUAACAGACUCAGGUUUGAUUGGUACCAUAAGCCUACCUACUUUGGCUGCCUACUCAAUUUUAAUUCUUUCCAUCCACUACAGCACAAAAUUGGUACAAUCAUAGGGUUAGUUGAUAGAAUCAUUUUUUUAAGCCAUUCUGCGUUCCAUGAAAGGAAUUUUGCGUUUGUCAUCCGCACUUUAGUACAGAAUGGUUAUCCCACUGAUUUUAUUUUCAGAAUCUUUAAAAAACGUGUUUUUGGAUUAAUCGACAAAAUGAAUACUACCAUCUAGUGAGGCUUUGGCUUCCUCAGUUCCCUCUCGGUGUUAUUGCAUCUUUCCAUAUAUGGGGAGAAUAUCUGAUAGAUUUAGUAAAAUCUUCAAAAAAUUUAAUAAUGUUCAAUGCUUUACUGUUAUGAACAAGCUUUCUGGUUUAGUUCGUGUUCAGAAGGACAGACUUCCUCGAGAUCUCCAUAAUAAUGUUGUGUACAUGUUUGAAUGCAAUGAUUGUGACUCUUCUUAUGUUGGUCAAACAGGCAGAAGGCUUUCCACACGUAUGUCUGAGCAUAAACGUUUACCUAAGGAUCUUAUAUCACAACUCUCUGUUGUUCAGGAGCAUCGUAUCAGGUGUGGUCAUGAAUUUGAAUGGGAUAGUAUAAGAAUUUUACAUAAAGAAUGCCUUUUUUAUAAAAGGAUGAUUGCUGAAAUGAUUUUUAUUAAAAUGCAGGCACGCAGGCUAAAUUCUCAGACUGAUACUGAAAAUUUAGGUAAAUGUUAUAAUACGUUACUUGAUUUGACUUCAUUUGUUUUUCGUUUACAUUUUGACUAAGUAAAUAUAAACACAUUGUUCUGUACUGCUUGUGGCAUUCGGAGGUAUAUGCUUAUUAACUUAACAUCACCACUCUUCCUGGAGCUCUAAAAUUUCUUUUAUUGAGGUAUUUAAUUUCUUUGUUUUCCUCGGGCUUAGUUCGGUUACUCUAUUUUAACACGUAUUUUCUGUUAAUUACACCAUAGCACCUUAGUACGUACGAUGGAGUGACUGAUCUCACAAUAAGAUUUUUACUGACUUAUAUUUACAGUCUUCCAAAGAGAGGUUUCUUUAUCCUAAGGAUAAAUUUUAUUUGUUUGCGUUCGUGCUUCCGAUUGCCGUAAUCAAACUUUGUAUCGAAAAUUUUGUGUAAUAACAACUCUUAUAAUACUGACGAUUUGCGACCUUAUGUUUGACAUUCUUAUUAUUUCGAACAGCCUUAGGCGGUGAGCGGCUAGUUCAGAUGCCGUCGAACGCUCGUCGACUGCUAUCAUCAAUUGCGCGAGUAUAAGUGCGUGCUCUCCUAUCCAGGAGCCCCGUAAGAUGGUGUGGGGAAAGUACGAGAGUGCUCUUGUGUAUAAGAGCACGGCGUGACCCAGUGAAGGACACGCGGGGGAUUGCCCGGCGCCUCCGCGCUGGGAAGGAUUCCCCCUUUCGGAGGAUAAUCACUCAGAGUGUGGAGACUUAUCCGUCUUCCUUGUGAGUGUCGAAGCAAAGUCCGACUAAGAUUCAGCUCCGGUGGGCGAGGAAGCAACAGAGGCUGAAUCUAAGAUGUUAGACUGGCGAACGUUGCUCGCCUGAAUAGUCGCACACGCGGCGAAUGCGAUGUCUCGUAGUGAAAGCCUAAACGCGAACGUAACUCUGAAUCGCGUACGCGGCCGAGUCGUAGUUUGACGUUAACGUACAUGUAACCGUAGAUAUGCGGUGAGUGUACCGCGUGCGUGACGAAUGCUAAUUCUCGUUGAGCCGAGAAGCGAAUAUUCCUCGCAUAUAGAGUCGCGGAUGCGACGACGUAGAAGUCUUGAUUAGACAGGCCCGCAAUCGUGUGGCGCGAGAGCGCGGUGCCCCUGGCAGGGAAGUAAUAGCGAGCGUGGCUCACGUGAGCGCUGCGUGUCUCUGGCAGCAAAGCUCUCGAAGAAAACUGACUCGCGCGGAGUCAUGAGCGCCCGACAGUAAUAAGUUCUGUCGGCACGAAUACCCGGUAUAGGUAAUACGGGAGAUGUCGCGAAGAGAGCGUCCACUGCGGUGGAGGCGUCAAAAGUAAUCCGAAGUGGUCGCGCGAAGCCUUCUCUCAAUCCUAGAUUGUAUUGAGAAGGUGGAGAUCCGUGGAGUUACCCAUAUACUUCGUAACACAGAUGCCAACGUGUCCUCGGACACUCUAGAGGCAAUAGCCCAACGUGCAAACGCACUCUAAAGGCUGUAGAGAGUUGUGUAGAAUCAUCGAAGACCUAAACACAAAAUGCCAACGUGUCUACGACACUCUUAAGGCAGUGAAGAUCGAUACAGAUAUUCAAAACGUAUACCUCUGACAAGGCAAGUGCCCAACGUGCCUGCGCACUCAAGAAGGCGAUAUAAAGCUAACUAGAACUUAAAAGAAUACCUCAAUGAGGCAGUGACCUAAUGUGCAAUCGCAGUCAAAAUGCUGGCAAAAGCCUCGAGUUAUCUCGCGCGGCGCCUUAUAUAGGCGCCCAAGCGAGAAUUAACUGCGAGAAGCAGCUCUGGCUGACGUGCUCGCCGCGUCGCGGCGACGGCGCGCACUAGCGGAAGGAGGCCGGCGACCGCGAGUUGAGCGGCGCCUAGGGCUCAGCCGCCCGCCGUACACGCUCCGCACAGACACCCAGCUGCUGUCCGGAACACUUAUGAAAUCUAAUUUGUUUCUUUUAUUGUAAUCACUGAAGAUGGUCUGUAAAGUCUGUAAAGACCGAAACGCGUAUGAUUAUUUGAUUAUUAAUAAAUUUCUUCUCAUUUGA